rnacentral:rRNA from 1 species
GAUGAACGCUGGCGGCGUGCCUAAUACAUGCAAGUCGAGCGAAUGGAUUAAGAGCUUGCUCUUAUGAAGUUAGCGGCGGACGGGUGAGUAACACGUGGGUAACCUGCCCACAAGACUGGGAUAACUCCGGGAAACCGGGGCUAAUACCGGAUAACAUUUUGAACCGCAUGGUUCGAAAUUGAAAGGCGGCUUCGGCUGUCACUUAUGGAUGGACCCGCGUCGCAUUAGCUAGUUGGUGAGGUAACGGCUCACCAAGGCAACGAUGCGUAGCCGACCUGAGAGGGUGAUCGGCCACACUGGGACUGGGACACGGCCCAGACUCCUGCGGGAGGCAGCAGUAGGGAAUCUUCCGCAAUGGACGAAAGUCUGACGGAGCAACGCCGCGUGAGUGAUGAAGGCUUUCGGGUCGUAAAACUCUGUUGUUAGGGAAGAACAAGUGCUAGUUGAAUAAGCUGGCACCUUGACGGUACCUAACCAGAAAGCCACGGCUAGCUACGUGCCAGCCGCCGCAGUAA